GAAACGAGUUCUCCCUUAAGAGCCGUGGUAGACCACCACGUUGAUAGGCCGGGUGUGUAAGCGCGGCAACGCGUUCAGCUUACCGGUACUAAUAGCUCGAUUGAGCUUGAUCGCGCUCAUCUU
rnacentral:rRNA from 1 species